GCAAUUUUUGAGGAUCAAAGAAAAUUAAGGCCGCUUAUGACAUCACCAAGUUUCCUAGCUCUGGUUACUAAGAAGUGCUGAUUCCUGUCUCUGUUCUGCACCUGACAGGUUGAACAAAGAAGUGGCCUACAGAUAACCUGGUGUCAGAAGGUGCACAUGAGUUGCUGAGCUGGCCCUGCACGUGAAAACUGAGGUACAAAACUGAGAUUGAAACUGAAGCACAACGCUCAAAUCCAGAGUCCUUCAAUCCUUCAUCUUGGGCUUCUGACAAUAGUUUCACAAUACUUAACUCUAACAGUCUAUCACCGUGCUUUCUAAUGAGGUGAAAGAGGCAAUAGCUGAACACAAGCUGCAUUGGGAAAGUGAUGGGGAAAGGAGGGCCUACCAUCAGCAGGAGCAUCCAGGCAUCUUGUCUGCCACAUGGGGCAUAUGCUGCCUCAAACCCAGACCUGAACUAUGCUACACCAUAUCAUAUCUUUACAUUAGAUGCAGGGCUAUAUGGAAGGAAGACACCAGGAGAUAAAGGCAAGAGACACUUUCCACCUGCCCUGAAGUUCUGGUUGUUUGGCAAAAAAUAAAAAGCAG